AACAAACGCUGGCGGCGUGCCUAAUACAUGCAAGUCGAACGGGGAAAGCUUUCGGGUGAGUACUAGUGGCGCACGGGUGAGUAACGCGUGGAUAAUCUGCCUUAGAGUGGGAAUAACGUUCGGAAACGAACGCUAAUACCGCAUAAUGUAGCGGCAUCGCAAGAUGACAGUUGUUAAAGGAGUAAUUCGCUUGAGGAGGAGCUUGCGGCAGAUUAGCUAGUUGGUAAGGUAACGGCUUACCAAGGCUACGAUCUGUAUCCGGUCUAAGAGGACGGUCGGACACACUGACACUGAAUAACGGGUCAGACUCCUACGGGAGGCAGCAGUCGGGAAUUUUGGGCAAUGGGGGAAACCCUGACCCAGCAACGCCGCGUGAAGGAUGAAGUAUUUCGGUAUGUAAACUUCGAAGGAAUGGGAAGAAUAAAUGACGGUACCAUUUAUAAGCUCCGGCUAACUACGUGCCAGCAGCCGCCGUAAUAC
rnacentral:rRNA from 1 species